UGCACAUCGCUGACGAGUGGCGGACGGGUGAGUAAUGCUUGGGAACUUGCCUUUGCGAGGGGGAUAACAGUUGGAAACGACUGCUAAUACCGCAUAAUGUCUUCGGACCAAACGGGGCUUCGGCUCCGGCGCAAAGAGAGGCCCAAGUGAGAUUAGCUAGUUGGUAAGGUAACGGCUUACCAAGGCGACGAUCUCUAGCUGUUCUGAGAGGAAGAUCAGCCACACUGGGACUGAGACACGGCCCAGACUCCUACGGGAGGCAGCAGUGGGGAAUAUUGCACAAUGGGGGAAACCCUGAUGCAGCCAUGCCGCGUGUGUGAAGAAGGCCUUCGGGUUGUAAAGCACUUUCAGUUGUGAGGAAAAGUUAGUAGUUAAUACCUGCUAGCCGUGACGUCAACAACAGAAGAAGCACCGGCUAACUCCGUGCCAGCAGCCGCGGUAAUACGGAGGGUGCGAGCGUUAAUCGGAAUUACUGGGCGUAAAGCGCACGCAGGCGGUUUGUUAAGCUAGAUGUGAAAGCCCCGGGCUCAACCUGGGAUGGUCAUUUAGAACUGGCAGACUAGAGUCUUGGAGAGGGGAGUGGAAUUCCAGGUGUAGCGGUGAAAUGCGUAGAUAUCUGGAGGAACAUCAGUGGCGAAGGCGACUCCCUGGCCAAAGACUGACGCUCAUGUGCGAAAGUGUGGGUAGCGAACAGGAUUAGAUACCCUGGUAGUCCACACCGUAAACGCUGUCUACUAGCUGUGUGUGCCUUUAAGGCGUGCGUAG
rnacentral:rRNA from 1 species